AGUCGAGCGGACGAUGGGAGCUUGCUCCCUGAAGUCAGCGGCGGACGGGUGAGUAACACGUGGGCAACCUGCCUGUAAGACUGGGAUAACUUCGGGAAACCGGAGCUAAUACCGGAUAAUGCUUUUGGACUCAUGUCCUUAAGCUGAAAGAUGGUUUCGGCUAUCACUUACAGAUGGGCCCGCGGCGCAUUAGCUAGUUGGUGAGGUAACGGCUCACCAAGGCAACGAUGCGUAGCCGACCUGAGAGGGUGAUCGGCCACACUGGGACUGAGACACGGCCCAGACUCCUACGGGAGGCAGCAGUAGGGAAUCUUCCGCAAUGGACGAAAGUCUGACGGAGCAACGCCGCGUGAGUGAUGAAGGUUUUCGGAUCGUAAAACUCUGUUGUUAGGGAAGAACAAGUAUCGGAGUAACUGCCGGUACCUUGACGGUACCUAACCAGAAAGCCACGGCUAACUACGUGCCAGCAGCCGCGGUAAUACGUAGGUGGCAAGCGUUGUCCGGAAUUAUUGGGCGUAAAGCGCGCGCAGGCGGUCCUUUAAGUCUGAUGUGAAAGCCCACGGCUCAACCGUGGAGGGUCAUUGGAAACUGGGGGACUUGAGUGCAGAAGAGGAGAGUGGAAUUCCACGUGUAGCGGUGAAAUGCGUAGAGAUGUGGAGGAACACCAGUGGCGAAGGCGACUCUCUGGUCUGUAACUGACGCUGAGGCGCGAAAGCGUGAGGAGCGAACAGGAUUAGAUACCCUGGUAG
rnacentral:rRNA from 1 species